rnacentral:rRNA from 1 species
UACAGAGGGGGCAAGCGUUAUUCGGAAUUAUUGGGCGUAAAGGGCGCGUAGGCGGCCUGGCAAGUGGAAGGUGAAAUCCCUCGGCUUAACCGAGGAACUGCCCUCCAAACUGCUUGGCUUGAGUCCGGGAGAGGUGAGUGGAAUUCCCAGUGUAGCGGUGAAAUGCGUAGAUAUUCGGAAGAACACCAGUGGCGAAGGCGACUUACUGGACACAUAUUGACGCUGAGGUGCGAAAGCGUGGGGAGCAAACAGG